GGGAGGACUACAUUUUAGAGUUACAAAAUUUACAUAUAGCAGAAUAAGUUGGAAUGCUUAAACAUAGAGGGUGAAAUUCCCGUAAGCGAAAUGUGUAGAUCUCUUUGUAGUAUCCUGAGUAGGGCGGGGCACGUGAAACCCUGUCUGAAUUUGCCGGGACCACCCGGUAAGGCUAAAUACUAACCAGACACCGAUAGUGAACUAGUACCGUGAGGGAAAGGUGAAAAGAACCCCGGGAGGGGAGUGAAAUAGAUCCUGAAACCAAUUACUUACAGUUAGUCAGAGCCCGUUAAUGGGUGAUGGCGUACAUCUUGCAGAAUGGACCGGCGAGUUAUGUCAACAUGCGAGGUUAAGUGGAUUAAAGCGAAGCCGUAGAGAAAUCGAGUCUUAAUAGGGCGCUUAGUAUGUUGAUAUAGACCCGAAACCAGGUGAUCUACCCAUGAGCAGGUUGAAACUUAGGUAACACUAAGUGGAGGACCGAACCGUAGUACGCUAAAAAGUGCCCGGAUGACUUGUGGGUAGGGGUGAAAUUCCAAUCGAACUUGGAGAUAGCUGGUUCUCUCCGAAAUAGCUUUAGGGCUAGCGUGUAGUGUUAAGUGAUGGGGGUAGAGCACUGAAUAUGGAAUGGCGGCGCCUAGCUGUACUGACUAUAAUCAAACUCCGAAUACUAUCAUGAAUUGCUAUGCAGUCGGUACAUCGGUGAUAACGUCGAUGCACGCGAGGGGAACAACCCAGAUCGUCAGCUAAGGUCCCAAAAUUGUGUUAAGUGAGAAAGGUUGUGGAGUUUCUUAAACAGCUAGGAUGUUGGCUUAGAAGCAGCCAUCGUUUAAAGAGUGCGUAAUAGCUCACUAGUCGAGAGACUCUGUGCCGAUAAUUCAACGGGACUAAAACACAAUACCGAAGCUACGGGCAUGAAAAUGCGUUAGGAGAGCGUUGUAAGGGCAUUGAAGCCAGACUGUGAAGACUGGUGGAGCGCUUACAAGUGAGAAUGCCGGUAUGAGUAACGAUUCAGAGUGAGAAUCUCUGACGCCUAUUGGGGAAGGUUUCCUGGGCAAGGUUCGUCCACCCAGGGUUAGUCGGGUCCUAAGACGAGGCCGAAAGGCGUAGCCGAUGGACAACAGGUUAAUAUUCCUGUACUUUCUAUAAAUGUGAUGGAGUGACGGGGGAGGAUAGCACUACCACUUAUUGGAUUGUGGGGUAAAUAGUGACUGGGUUAUGUAGGCAAAUCCGCAUAACUUAACCGGGAGAUAUGAUGCAUAGUGAAAGGGCAACUAAGUAGCGAAUUGGAUGAUUCCAUACCUCUUAAAAAAGCUUCUAACAUAUAGUUUAUGGAAACCCGUACCGAGAACGGACACACGUCCCCAAGAUGAGUAUUCUAAGGCGAGCGAGAAAACCAAUGUCAAGGAACUCUGCAAAUUCAUCCCGUAAGUUCGCAAGAAGGGAUGCCCACCCUAAAAAGUGGGCCGCAGUGAAUAGUAAGGGGGAACUGUUUAUCAAAAACACAGCUCUAUGCUAAGUCGUAAGACGAUGUAUAUGGGGUGACUCCUGCCCAGUGCCCGAAGGUUAAGCAAAGUUGUUAGCUUUAGCGAAGCAUUGAUGUGAAGCCCGGGUGAACGGCGGCCGUAACGAUAACGGUCCUAAGGUAGCGAAAUUCCUUGUCCAAAAAAAAAAAAAA
rnacentral:rRNA from 1 species